GAAAGGACUCCUGUCAAAUGUUGGAUUCUUAAAGGAUAAGGGCAUGACAAGAGCAAAGACCUUGGGAAAGCUGGUCUGUUGCUGUUUGCAGAAGGUUCUAGAGCAGUGCUUCCAAAACUUGAAUGUGCUCACCAACUUCAAGCCACAAAUCACAGUUCUGCACUGGGGCCUUGGAGUCUGGAUUUCCAGCUAUUCCAUGCUGGGUGUGGAGCAGAGCAUUGUGGCACAUCAACAGUUUGAGUCUCUCUGAUCUUCACUUUGUCCAUGUCCUGGGCGCUUCUCCCUGCCUUGAGCUUCCUUUCCUUAUUUAAAAAUGAAGAUCUGGCUACUUAGAACCUCAGGAUCUCAGAAGGACAGAGGUGGAAGGGUCCUCGGAGCUUCUCUUAAACAUUCUUCAUUGUUCAGUUCCCUCAGCAACUCUGUCAAGCCUGGGCUCCCGAGAACAAACAUUUGGCUGCCUGAUCCCAG